AUGAUAUCGAGACGAUUGCGCGGGAACGUAGACAAAUUUCGCUUCUCUACUACGAAUGCAAUUUGCGUCGACAACUGAUCCCACGUAGUCCCAAUUGUUUCGAGCGGCGUACAUAAUUCAUUCGACAAUGGCCGCAAAAUGGUGUCACUUCGUCGAUGACGGAGUUAUUGUUCAUGUGAGAUAAUAGUAGGGAAAAUAACGACUACGAGAGAGACUAUGUUCAGAAGAUAAUACGAAAAACAAAUUGGAGAGGGGCGGGGAAGAACGUUUUAACCUGUAGUCUGUUGCUGCUAAGUUAUGGCAGCGGUCUCGUGGCUUUCAACAAAGAUAUAAAUUCUUUUGCGACUUAUAGCGACAAAGGUGAUGAAGAUUUUUGCUCGAUGUUUUUGAAAAUCCAAUUGUUUCUAUCUAAUCGAUUCACCAUACCUUGAUUCGCAGUAGGUGGUCUUACCCGAAUUAAGGUUAGGUUGUACAAAUUGAUGAUCAGCCGAUAAACAGCUGUAAGUGAAGAUAAAGAAUAAAAUCAUUUUUAAUUUCGUAAUUAAAAAUAAACAAGUGCCCGGAUAUUUUUUGCGUGGUAGAACAUGUAUGUGUUUGCUAUUCCCGUAGGAGGAUACACAUUUUGUGCGCGCAUGCGCACACAGGCGACGUUGUAUAUUAGCAUUAUUCUCCGCGCGAUGUAAAAUAUUAAAUUAAAAACAGACAAAUUUUCCGGCUGUUUGCCAGCCGUGCUCGCGAUGAGAGACUCUUGAUUUAUUUAAUACCCGCUCCCCACGUACGUCGCUGUUACCUGACAGAGAAAAAAGCAAGCUAGAUAUCACAGGUAAUAUGUUUUACAAUAAUACGUAAACGACGCGCGACGUUAUCGCGACCGGCAAUGAUGAUGCAUCGCGGCUAUAUACUUCUUCUCAUUAACGUUAAAACGGACGUUUAUUUUACAUCCCUGGAUCUCGUUCUAGCGUAAAUAUUUACUGGCUUGCGGAACACUCUGGUCAGGAAGCGGCCAUUUCCCAACUUGAUCAAAUUUUUAAAUCUAAACAACGUUCUUUUGUUUCUUUUAUGCUUUAUGCUUAUUUCAAAAAAAUAUUUUCCUAGGGAAGUUUCUUGCUAUCUAGUGUUUUUAUUUAAAAUGUAAAUAAAGUAUUUUUAACUAGAAUUUUUCUCCUAGCCACCUCGGUGUUUUAAAAAGAAGAAAGAAUAAUUUCCAACUACAAUAUAAACGCCAUACUUCUGUCUUCUUUUUGUUUUCAAAUCCUUUGUUUUAAGAGAAUAUAUUUUUGCAAAAAAAAAGAAAGGAAAAAUAGAAAAAAGUUUCUCUUCGAAAUGCGGAUAAAAAAAUUUUCGAAAAAUAACUAGAAUCCUUUUGCAGCCACUUAAACAGGACAAAAGAAUGAUUUCCAAGUCUAAACACCAUUCGUUUAUUCCCCCCU
rnacentral:misc_RNA from 1 species